UGGGGAAUCUUGCGCAAUGGGCGAAAGCCUGACGCAGCGACGCCGCGUGAGCGAUGAAGGCCCUCGGGUUGUAAAGCUCUGUGGAGGGGGACGAAUAAGGGCCGGUGAAUAAGCGGCCCGAUGACGGUACCCCUUUAGCAAGCACCGGCUAACUCUGUGCCAGCAGCCGCGGUAAGACAGAGGGUGCAAACGUUGUUCGGAAUUACUGGGCGUAAAGCGCGUGUAGGCGGCGAGGCAAGUCGGAUGUGAAAGCCCUGGGCUUAACCUAGGAAGUGCAUUCGAAACUGCCUGGCUGGAGUUCUGGAGAGGAAGGCGGAAUUCUCGGUGUAGAGGUGAAAUUCGUAGAUAUCGAGAGGAACACCGGUGGCGAAGGCGGCCUUCUGGACAGCAACUGACGCUGAGACGCGAAAGCGUGGGGAGCAAACAG
rnacentral:rRNA from 1 species